rnacentral:RNase_P_RNA from 1 species
CUGGCCGAGUGCGAUGGUCGCGGGGCGGUCGCAAGGCCGUCUCGAGGAAAGUCCGAGCUCCACAGGGCAGACUGCCAGGUAACGCCUGGGCGCCGAAAGGCGACGGACAGGGCAACAGAGAACAGACCGCCACGCGGACCCUCGCAAGAGGCGAUGCGGGGUAAGGGUGAAACGGUGGGGUAAGAGCCCACCGCGCCGCUGGCAACAGCGGCGGCACGGCAACCCCCAGUCGGAGCAAGGCCAAAUAGGCGGCGAGGUGUGGCCCACACCGUUCCCGAUUCCGCGAGGAUGAGGGGUCAGCCGCGGGUAGGCUGCUAGAGGUGGCCGGCGACGGCCAUCCCAGACAGAUGACCAUCUCCCCCGCCGCCGAUCGGCACAAGGCGGCGGGAGAAACAGAACUCGGCUUACGGCUCGGCCAGCGGC